GGAGUUAGCCGGUGCUUCUUCUGUGAGUGAUGUCCUUCCUGCCGGCUAUUAACCCGCAGGCCUUCUUCCUCACUGAAAGUGCUUUACAACCCGAAGGCCUUCUUCACACACGCGGCAUGGCUGGAUCAGGGUUGCCCCCAUUGUCCAAUAUUCCCCACUGCUUCCUCCCGUAGGAGUCUGGGCCGUGUCUCAGUCCCAGUGUGGCUGAUCAUCCUCUCAGACCAGCUACGGAUCGUCGCCUUGGUUAGCCGUUACCUCACCAACCAGCUAAUCCGACAUAGGCUCAUCCGAUAGCGCGAGGCCCGAAGGUCCCCCGCUUUCCCCCGUAGGGCGUAUGCGGUAUUAGCCUGGGUUUCCCCAGGUUAUCCCCCACUACCGGGCAGAUUCCUAUGCAUUACUCACCCGUCCGCCGCUCGCCACCAGGGAGCAAGCUCCCCGUGCUGCCGCUCGACUUGCAUGUGUUAGGCCUGCCGCCAGCGUUCAAUCUGAGCCAGAGACAACAACUCGACUACGAGGACGGGCGGUCGGCGAACGGACGGCGACUAG
rnacentral:rRNA from 1 species